AGCUAGAAAACCGCCGUGUGGUCGAUUUUUGAUUAGGCCAAAGCGUUUCGCGAUGUUUGCGGUCGCCGAAGAACUGGCCAGUUACCCAGAUCACUUACACGCUUUCACUUUGUGUACCCCCAAUUUUCGCUUAAUUCGAAUUGGAUAUUAAUAUGCAUCUACAGACUUAACAGCGGGUGUCUGUAUAAAAAAUCCAAAAUGAGAAGAAUUAAUUUGAUUAAAAAAUCAGCAUUUUAAAGGAUGGAAGGGACUGGCAAAGCCAAUCGCCUUAAAUAAAGAGGGACGCAUUACUUACAAACCUCGGCAUGAUGGCUGGAAAGUGUCUGGACCAAAACCGCUCAGAAGAACUCUUCGAAGCGACAUUGAUGGGAAUGGUGCCAUAGUGAUAAAGUGGGCAGACAGGUAACAGGUAGAAGGCCUUUGUAAGGUCAAGAAAAGCUGCUACUGGGAAACGGUUACACGGGGAAAAUGUGGGAAAACUUUUAAUACCUGACUGCCUUUGAGUCCUCCUUCGCGUCGAAAAUUACCCACUUUCUAGUCCUUUGCUAUCCCAUAGUGGCGGCAGUCGCUUGAAUGAGCUGCGGUGUGGAAAAUCCCAAAAAUGCACUUUUAUUGCGCUCGCACUUAAAUUGCUAUUGUUCUUUUCCGUGCUGGGCUUAGACUGAUGCUCGUCGUGGCAGCUGGCAACUUUUAACUAGCCUGCCAUGGAGCUACAUAAAACGCAAAAUCUUCAGUAGCUUGCCAUCUUCAAAGUCCAUUUUCCUAUUAAACAUCAGAGAGAUUCCGAAGUAAGUGAAAGGAACUUGAGUAUUAAUAAAUUCCCCGCUUCUUCAACCAUCGACAGCUGGUUGAACGAGUGGUUAACAUUUCCCAGUGUUCAUCAUUCAUCUAUACUUUUGUUUAAAGCAUGAAUCUAAUGUUUAUACUUUUCAAGGCUGUCGCGUUUCAAACCGAAUACCUUUGCGUAGUUUAACAUUAUCGCUCGCAUGCAAUUUAGUCAAAUUGUCCGUCCGCGGCAAUAGUGAUUGGAUAAUAAAUGUGCAUUUGAAAUUAUUGGCGACGACAGACAUUCUUCUGCUCUUGUAUUUGGAAAAAUAUCCUGUUCCCAGCUAGCUAAAAACUUAAACCAAAAACAGUGCCUUUUUAAUGCGUCUAAUCAUCCGCAAGUUUUACAUUAAGAACGGCCUGGUGAGGAUUUCAGCCUCCUGCCGCUGGUGCAGUGAGCCGACUCCUACCGCUGGAACAGCCUGAGUGGGUCGCCCGCAAUAUCUCACCUGGGAAACUCACAAAAUUAGCUCGAGAUUCUCCAACGCCCCGAAUAUCCGCUUACAGAUCUGCCGAUCAGAUUCUCAAAUCGCCGCUUGAAGAACGUCCAAGCGCCCAUGUUUUGCGGCUCCUCCUGGCACCAAACCAGGCCUGAAAUGUAGCAUUUCAAUUAAAAACCCGCUGAACAUUC